rnacentral:sRNA from 1 species
CAGAAAUAUAAUACUUUGUUUCUCAGUGUUUACACAUCUAAUAUUGUACUAUGGUCAGCUAUCAAUUUUUUGUAAUACGUCACAAGUAUGAAGCAGCUACGACGGAAAACCUAACCGUUGCUUGCAACGAGCUCGUCUUUAGUUAUCAAUGUUUUUCAUAUAACUGAUAUAAAGAAUGUAUGAACUUUAGGAUUACCGACCCACUAUUACUGCCUUUAAUUGGUGUCAUUCUAAAUGAAACAAAAAAGGAUGAUUUCAAUUAAAUUAAACCAACAACUUGUCAUGAUCGAACUGCAAAAUUUAAGAAACUGUGAAAUAACGAUAUGAAAAGAUAUUGAAACCUACAAUGCCGGGGUGGAUGAACCUCCUCCAAUCCCCCUCCAGUUCUCAGGGAAAAAGAGCAGUCGAAGGCCCAGUCGAGGGUGAUGACAGUCAGCCUAAACCCGCUCGCCGCAGAGGACGUCCUCGGAAGCUGAGUAAGACUCCUGAGGAACCCUACCGAGGAGGAGGCCGACCCACGAGGCCCAGCCAGUCAUCCCCCGACACCACCGAAAAGUCACCAGAAACGUCUACAGAUUCCGAGCUUUAUUGCCUCUGUCAUCGUCCUGAUGUCGGAAAACUAAUGGUCCAGUGUGACCAGUGCGACUGCUGGUACCACGGCCUGUGUGUGGGCGUCUCGCCGGAGGACGUCACCACAAUGGACCAAGGCCCCGCAGGCCCACCCAUUCCCGGGGACCGCGGGGAGGAGAGGCUCGCGAGGACCAAGCUCGACUUGCCCAUUCCUGGGGUGCCUGGUGCGGACCCGCACCUUGAGAAAUCAUGUCACGGUGGCACCCCUCCAUCCCGUGUUCCGGAGGUCUGUGCCUUCUGAGGCGGGACCAGCCUCCGGUACAGCGUGCUCAUGUGGAUGGCCCACCACCUGCUGGGAGAAGGAGCCACCCUCGAGGACCUGACGAGGGACGUCCAUACGGGCGAAGUCUUCCAGGAGCCCGGCGCCGGCUUACCUACCGAUUUGAACCUGGCCGUGGAGGCGCUGUGUCGGUUUGUGGGGGAUGAUCCACCUCGCAGAUUCGCCUUGUUCGGUCGUCUGCAUCCCGCUCUCCUGCUGCAUUGGAGAGUACAGGCGCACCUAGUUUCCCGGU